rnacentral:rRNA from 1 species
AGAGUUUGAUCCCUGGGCUCAGAAUCAACGCUNNCGGCGUGCNUCAGACAUGCAAGUCGGACGCGAAAGGCUCCUUUCGGGGGCCGAGUAGAGUGGCGCACGGGUGAGUAACACGUGGAUAAUUUGCCUUUAGGUGGGGAAUAACAACCGGAAACGGUUGCUAAUACCGCAUAAUGCAGCGGCAUCUAUGAUGACAGUUGUUAAAGCGGGGGAUCGCAAGACCUCGCGCCUGAAGAGAAGUCCGCGGCAGAUUAGCUAGUUGGUAAGGUAAUGGCCUACCAAGGCGACGAUCUGUAGCCGGCCUGAGAGGGCGGUCGGCCACACUGACACUGACAUACGGGUCAGACUCCUACGGGAGGCAGCAGUCGGGAAUUUUGGGCAAUGGGCGAAAGCCUGACCCAGCAACGCCGCGUGAAGGAUGAAGUUUUUCGGAGUGUAAACUUCACAAGAAUGGGAAGAAUAAGUUGAAGCUAACACCUUCGACGAUGACGGUACCAUUUGUAAGCUCCGGCUAACUCCGUGCCAGCAGCCGCGGUAAUACGGGGGGAGCAAGCGUUGUUCGGAUUUACUGGGCGUAAAGGGCGCGUAGGCGGCGCGACAAGUCACUUGUGAAAUCUCCGGGCUCAACUCGGAACGGUCAAGUGAUACUGUCGUGCUAGAGUGCAGAAGGGGCAACCGGAAUUCUUGGUGUAGCGGUGAAAUGCGUAGAUAUCAAGAGGAACACCUGCGGCGAAGGCGGGUUGCUGGGCUGACACUGACGCUGAGGCGCGAAAGCUAGGGGAGCGAACGGGAUUAGAUACCCCGGUAGUCCUAGCCUUAAACGAUGAAUGCUUGGUGUCCGGAGUUUGAUAGUCUCCGGGUGCCGUCGCUAACGCUUUUAGCAUUCCGCCUGGGGAGUACGGUCGCAAGACUGAAACUCAAAGGAAUUGACGG